UACGGGGGGGGCAAGCGUUGUUCGGAAUUACUGGGCGUAAAGGGCUCGUAGGUGGCCAACUAAGUCAGACGUGAAAUCCCUCGGCUUAACCGGGGAACUGCGUCUGAUACUGGAUGGCUUGAGUUUGGGAGAGGAAUGCGGAAUUCCAGGUGUAGCGGUGAAAUGCGUAGAUAUCUGGAGGAACACCGGUGGCGAAGGCGGCAUUCUGGACUGUAACUGACACUGAGGAACGAAAGCCAGGGGAGCAAACGGG
rnacentral:rRNA from 1 species